UGGUGAUUGGCUUCGGUUGUCAUCUGUGC
rnacentral:piRNA from 1 species